rnacentral:rRNA from 1 species
UACGUAGGGUGCGAGCGUUGUCCGGAAUUAUUGGGCGUAAAGAGCUCGUAGGCGGUCUGUCGCGUCGAAUGUGAAAACCCGGGGCUCAACUCCGGGCUUGCAUUCGAUACGGGCAGGCUAGAGUUCGGUAGGGGAGUCUGGAAUUCCUGGUGUAGCGGUGAAAUGUGUAGAGAUCGGGAGGAACACCGGUGGCGAAGGCGGGUCUCUGGGCAAUUCCUGACGCUGAGGCGCGAAAGCGUGGGGAGCAAACGGG